rnacentral:rRNA from 1 species
GGUAGUCCUAGCUGUAAACGGUGCAUAUUUGCUGUAAAAGGAAUCGACCCCUUUUGUGGCGAAGCAAACGCGUUAAAUAUGCCGCCUGGGAAGUACGGUCGCAAGAUUAAAACUCAAAGAAAUUGACGGGGGCCUGCACAAGCGGUGGAGUAUGUGGCUUAAUUCGAUGCAACGCGAAGAACCUUACCUGGCCUUGACAUGCACAUAGUAGAAGCCUGAAAGGGUGACGAGGUAGCAAUACCAGUGUGCACAGGUGCUGCAUGGCUGUCGUCAGCUCGUGUCGUGAGAUGUUGGGUUAAG